UAAACCCUCGAAUCUCAUGCCUCAAAUUUGAACCUUCUCACUUUGUUCCUCAAUUCUCACGCACUCUCAGGUUUCAGCUACCCUCUUCAAUCUUCAUUUCACCCUUCACCACAAUCUUUCUCCCUCUAACAUUACACAACCCUCAAUCGCACACCCCAAGAUUCUCAUUCGCCUGCUUCUAGGUUCGUUCGCAAUUCAUUUUGACAUGCGGUUGUAUUACGGAGCCAAAGAGAUCCUAAAGAUUCAAAAAUUUCGAAGAAUUGUGUCCUAUACUGGAUUCUAUCUUUUCGUUUCCGUUUUGAGCUACGCUUAUACAAGCAAUACAACUAGAGCUGGGUAUUCUCGAGGAGAUCAAUUUUAUGCUUCUUACCCUGCUGGAACAGAGCUCUUGACAGACACUACGAAGUUGUACAAAGCUGCUCUUGGGAAUUGCUUUGAAAUAGAGGAAUGGGGUCCAAUUGAAUUCUACAUCAUGUCUAAACAUUUUGAACGUCAAGGAAAAUCGCCUUAUGCAUAUCAUUCUAUAAGAAACUAUUUCAUUGAUUGAUAAAAUAUCCAAAGGUAUACAAAAGAGUCCCGAUUGAAGGGAAUCCAAAAGAUAUUUCCAAUUUGUAAUAAGCAAUACAUGGCACAUCUUCUGUCUCAUGGACAACUUGAUGGAAGUGGGUAGAAAAACAUCAAAUCAACCAACGACCAAAGAGCUUGAACUUGUUUACUAGUGAACAUAAAUGGAUUUUUGCAGCCCUGUGUGCUGGAUAAUUUGAUUGCAGCCGACAGUGGGCAAAAGAGCAGCUACUGAAAUGGUAAGAUUGGGGAAGAAUUUGGCCUAUAAUCAUCUCAAUGUGAGUCAGUUUCAACAGCCAGAUCAAGAAAGCCAGCCUGUUCUGUAACAAUCAAACCUUCACUAUAUUGCCAGAGCCUCCAACAAAUCCACGUUCAACAAGAAAUUACAGAAAUUGCUUAAUGUCGGCAUAAUUUCCUCUCGUUCAUCUCAGAAAGACAAUCUUUGCCAAUGUUGUUUCAACUCCUUUACAUAACUAUAGAGCAUGUGUAGUGAAUUUUGCUUCAAGUAACCCCUCUUAGUAAGAUUACAAGUUGUAGGCAAAAGAUUGUGAACAUUUGAUUGUUCUUUACAUAUUCAUUGUGCUAAAAGUGUAUUAAUGUUCAAUUUAAUUUGAACUA